UCAAUUUCAAAUUAAAGGUUGAAGUAAUCUCCCUUGACAACAAACUUGAUUAAAGAAUUAGCAUAGAUAAUUCUGAUUGACCAUUUGGAUAAUAGCAUCUCUAAUGGCACAAUCUGUAAGUUUGAUUCAUACAAGCCCCCUCAAAUUGGGCUUCAUUCCUCAAAGAAGAGUUUCACAUGGGAAAUAUGGAAUGCUUGUUUCCAGAGCAUCACCUAGGAUUCUCAGUAUCCAAGCUGUACAGGAGAAUGGGGGGCCGCGAAGAUUAGUUGACAUUAUUAGAAUUGUGCCUGAGCUCUCCAGGAACUACUUUCGAAGUCCUUCAAGGAGGGCACUUUUUGGUGGAAUAUCCUUGUUGGGUGGAUUUUAUGUGGCCCAAACCAUCUCUCUGUCAUUUGGAGCUUUAGGAGUAAACGAUGUCAUUGCUGCAGUGAUAUGUGUUCUUCUGACAGAGUAUGUGACAAGGUUUUAUUACAGCCGGCCAAAGGUAACCUUCCCCAUUGCCCUUCUCAACAAUUUCAAGAUGGGCUUCACUUAUGGCCUCUUUAUUGACGCAUUCAAGCUGGCUAGUUAAUUGUAUCAUUGGAA
rnacentral:misc_RNA from 1 species